AUUGAACGCUGGCGGCAUGCCUUACACAUGCAAGUCGAACGGUAACAGGUCUUCGGAUGCUGACGAGUGGCGAACGGGUGAGUAAUACAUCGGAACGUGCCCGAUCGUGGGGGACAACGCAGCGAAAGCUGUGCUAAUACCGCAUACGAUCUACGGAUGAAAGCGGGGGAUCGCAAGACCUCGCGCGGACGGAGCGGCCGAUGGCAGAUUAGGUAGUUGGUGGGAUAAAAGCUUACCAAGCCGACGAUCUGUAGCUGGUCUGAGAGGACGACCAGCCACACUGGGACUGAGACACGGCCCAGACUCCUACGGGAGGCAGCAGUGGGGAAUUUUGGACAAUGGGCGAAAGCCUGAUCCAGCCAUGCCGCGUGCAGGAUGAAGGCCUUCGGGUUGUAAACUGCUUUUGUACGGAACGAAAAAGUUCUCUCUAAUACAGGGGGCGAAUGACGGUACCGUAAGAAUAAGCACCGGCUAACUACGUGCCAGCCGCCGCCGUAAAAC
rnacentral:rRNA from 1 species